rnacentral:rRNA from 1 species
AUCGAACGCUGGCGGCAUGCCUAACACAUGCAAGUCGAGCGGAGCGUCGGACGGGUGAGUAAUGCCUGGGAAUCUGCCUGGUAGUGGGGGAUAACGUCCGGAAGCGGGCGCCAAUAACGCAUACUUUCAGAUGACCCUAGGUCGGCUUAGCUAGUUGGGGGGGUAAAGGCCUACCAGGGCGACGAUCCGUAACGGGCCUGAGGGGAUGAUCGGUCACACUGGAACGGAGAAACGGUCCAGACUCCUACGGGAGGCAGCAGUGGGGAAUCUUGGACAAUGGGCGAAAGCCUGAUCCGGCAAUGCCGCGUGUGGGAAGAAGGUUUUCGGAUGGUAAAGCACUUUAAGUUGGGAGGCGUUACCAACAGAGAAAGCACCGGCUAACUACGUGCCAGCAGCCGCGGUAAUAC